rfam:Heterocephalus glaber contig20686, whole genome shotgun sequence.
CAAAAGGAUUUUCUAAAAUCCACAUCAACACUGUUACACUGUUUC